rnacentral:rRNA from 1 species
CGCAGGCUAACACAUGCAAGUCUGAGCGGUAACAGAAAGUAGCUUGCUACUUUGCUGACGAGCGGCGGACGGGUGAGUAAUGCUUGGGAACAUGCCUUGAGGUGGGGACAACAGUUGGAAACGACUGCUAAUACCGCAUAAUGUCUACGGACCAAAGGGGGCUUCGGCUCUCGCCUUUAGAUUGGCCCAAGUGGGAUUGGCUAGUUGGUGAGGUAAUGGCUCACCAAGGCAACGAUCCCUAGCUGGUUUGAGAGGAUGAUCAGCCACACUGGAACUGAGACACGGUCCAGACUCCUACGGGAGGCAGCAGUGGGGAAUAUUGCACAAUGGGCGAAAGCCUGAUGCAGCCAUGCCGCGUGUGUGAAGAAGGCCUUCGGGUUGUAAAGCACUUUCAGUCAGGAGGAAAGGGUGUGAGUUAAUACCUCAYAUCUGUGACGUUACUGACAGAAGAAGCACCGGCUAACUCCGUGCCAGCAGCCGCGGUAAUACGGAGGGUGCGAGCGUUAAUCGGAAUUACUGGSCGUAAAGCGUACGCAGSCGGUUUGUUAAGCGAGAUGUGAAAGCCCCGGGCUCAACCUGGGAACUGCAUUUCGAACUGGCAAACUAGAGUGUGAUAGAGGGUGGUAGAAUUUCAGGUGUAGCGGUGAAAUGCGUAGAGAUCUGAAGRAAUACCGAUGGCGAAGGCAGCCACCUGGGUCAACACUGACGCUCAUGUACGAAAGCGUGGGGAGCAAACGGGAUUAGAUACCCGGUAGUCCACGCCGUAAACGAUGUCUACUAGAAGCUCGGAACCUCGGUUCUGUUUUUCAAAGCUAACGCAUUAAGUAGACCGCCUGGGGAGUACGGCCGCAAGGUUAAAACUCAAAUGAAUUGACGGGGGCCGCACAAGC